GCAGCCUUGAAUAAGAUCAACAACUUUCAUUGGCUGAAGUAUACAUCCCAUGCAGAACAGUCAAGAUGGACAACAUCAUGUGAAGGAAUGACAAGUUGAAAAUGCUAAAAACACAUUGGUGGGGAGUGAAAACAAGUCAAAAGGAAGAAGAGAUGCAUCAGUGGAUAACAUUGGGAGCUCUCAUCUAAUAUAUUUACCUGUCAUCAAGCUGAUCGCAGUUUCUUCCAUCAUUAACCUCACAACAGAUGAUCAACAUCAACAGACCAGUCAGAUCAACCUGAAAGGAUGAUAUGAAAGCAAUAAACUUGAGCAGGCUAUUGUUCAGUGAAGACAUGACAACAGAUGAAGGCAGACAGUCAACGGGCAUGUUACUGGGUGGAUCUGGUAUGAUGAUCAAGUUACAGAGCUGUCAAUGGAACCAGUGGAAAAGGAGACAAUACAUAAUUUUCCAGGGAACUGUAUUAAUUAUUGUAUUGGAUAAGUCAUGGACAUCAUUGAUGUUAACAAAGACCGUUCAAUUUUAAGGGAGUUCUGACAGAAUGACUAGAGGAAUAUUUUCAGAUUCAUUUCUGCCAGUAGGUCUGUUUAUUCAUCCUCAAGUCCCAGUGGAAAUCAAGGUCUGUAAAGUCUGUUUAGGUGUUGUCUAGGUUUGGCUACAGGUUCUAGUGUCUUGUUCGUUUUUUUUAGAAAAUUAUCAAAUCACAAACAGACUUGGGUCAUAACAUCAAAUGAAACUUCUAGGUAACAUGCUAAUGCCAGGAAACUUCAAGCUAAGUAUUUGGAAAUAAUAGUUUGAAUACUAUUAUUUACAAAUAGUAGCUUAAUUUUAAAGAGAAUGUCAAAGCUAUUUUUUAAUUUGAAUAAUAAUUUAAAAGUUAUUAUUUGAAA